rnacentral:rRNA from 1 species
AACGGCCGCGGUAUUUUAACCGUGCAAAGGUAGCGCAAUCAAUUGUCUUUUAAAUGAAGACCUGUAUGAAUGGCAUAACGAGGGUUUAACUGUCUCUUUCUCCUGGUCAGUGAAACUGAUCUACCCGUGCAGAAGCGGGUAUGAAUAUACAAGACGAGAAGACCCUAUGGAGCUUUAGACGCCCACCAAUCAUGAAAAGCAAGUCUCAGUUAACAGGCCUCCAAACAACAUGAUACUGGUAUAAACGUCUUCGGUUGGGGCGACCGCGGGAGAGAAAAAAGCUCCCGAGAGGAUUGGGGCUACCCUAAAACCAAGAGCUACACCUCUAAGUCACAAAACAUUUGACCAAAAAUGAUCCGGCUAUUUGCCGAUUAACGAACCAAGUUACCCUAGGGAUAACAGCGCAAUCCC